GAUGAACGCUGGCGGCGUGCCUAAUACAUGCAAGUCGAGCGAACAGACGAGGAGCUUGCUCCUCUGACGUUAACGGCGGACAGGUGAGUAACACGUGGAUAACCUACCUAUAAGACUGGGAUAACUUCGGGAAACCGGAGCUAAUACCGGAUAAUAUAUUGAACCGCAUGGUUCAAUAGUGAAAGACGGUUUUGCUGUCACUUAUAGAUGGAUCCGCGCCGCAUUAGCUAGUUGGUAAGGUAACAGCUUACCAAGGCGACGAUGCGUAGCCGACCUGAUCGGGUGAUCGGCCACACUGGAACUGAGAAACGGUCCAGACUCCGACGGGAGGCAGCAGUAGGGAAUCUUCCGCAAUGGGCGAAAGCCUGACGGAGCAACGCCGCGUGAGUGAUGAAGGUCUUCGGAUCGUAAAGCUAUGUUAUUAGGGAAGAAGAAAUGUGUAAGUAACUAUGCACGUCUUGACGGUACCUAAUCAGAAAGCCACGGCUAACUACGUG
rnacentral:rRNA from 1 species